rnacentral:rRNA from 1 species
CGAACGCUGGCGGCGUGCCUCAUACAUGCAAGUCGAGCGAGAAAGCCACCUUCGGGUGGUUAGUAGAGCGGCGAACGGGUGAGUAACACGUGGGUUACCUGCCCUCGAGUUGGGGAUAACCACUGGAAACGGUGGCUAAUACCCGAGAUAUUCAGGUUUCUUUAGAUUCCUGAAUUGAAGGUGCUAUCCUUCGGGAUGGUAUCGCUUGAGGAUGGGCCCGCGUCCCAUUAGCUUGUUGGUAGGGUAAUGGCCUACCAAGGCCGCGAUGGGUAGCUGGUCUGAGAGGAUGACCAGUCACACUGGGACUGAAAUACGGCCCAGACUCCUACGGGAGGCAGCAGUAGGGAAUUUUGGGCAAUGGGGGAAACCCUGACCCAGCAACGCCGCGUGAGUGAAGAAGGUUUUCGGAUCGUAAAGCUCUGUCAGGUGGGAAGAAUAGAGCCCGGGUAACGCCGGGCCUUGACCACCAUCAAAGGAAGCACCGGCUAACUCC